GACGAACGCUGGCGGCGUGCUCAACACAUGCAAGUCGAACGGAAAGGCCCUGCUUUUGUGGGGUGCUCGAGUGGCGAACGGGUGAGUAACACGUGAGUAACCUGCCCUUGACUUUGGGAUAACUUCAGGAAACUGGGGCUAAUACCGGAUAGGAGCUCCUGCUGCAUGGUGGGGGUUGGAAAGUUUCGGCGGUUGGGGAUGGACUCGCGGCUUAUCAGCUUGUUGGUGGGGUAGUGGCUUACCAAGGCUUUGACGGGUAGCCGGCCUGAGAGGGUGACCGGCCACAUUGGGACUGAGAUACGGCCCAGACUCCUACGGGAGGCAGCAGUGGGGAAUAUUGCACAAUGGGCGGAAGCCUGAUGCAGCAACGCCGCGUGCGGGAUGACGGCCUUCGGGUUGUAAACCGCUUUCGCCUGUGACGAAGCGUGAGUGACGGUAAUGGAUAAAGAAGCACCGGCUAACUACGUGCCAGCAGCCGCGGUGAUACGUAGGGUGCGAGCGUUGUCCGGAUUUAUUGGGCGUAAAGGGCUCGUAGGUGGUUGAUCGCGUCGGAAGUGUAAUCUUGGGGCUUAACCCUGAGCGUGCUUUCGAUACGGGUUGACUUGAGGAAGGUAGGGGAGAAUGGAAUUCCUGGUGGAGCGGUGGAAUGCGCAGAUAUCAGGGGGAACACCAGUGGCGAAGGCGGUUCUCUGGGCCUUUCCUGACGCUGAGGAGCGAAGGCGUGGGGAGCGAACAGGCUUAGAUACCCUGGUAGUCCACGCUGUAAACGGUGGGUACUAGGUGUGGGGUCCAUUCCACGGGUUCCGUGCCGUAGCUAACGCUUUAAGUACCCCGCCUGGGGAGUACGGCCGCAAGGCUAAAACUCAAAGGAAUUGACGGGGCCCCGCACAAGCGGCGGAGCAUGCGGAUUAAUUCGAUGCAACGCGUAGAACCUUACCUGGGUUUGACAUGGAUCGGGAGUGCUCAGAGAUGGGUGUGCCUCUUUUGGGGUCGGUUCACAGGUGGUGCAUGGCUGUCGUCAGCUCGUGUCGUGAGAUGUUGGGUUAAGUCCCGCAACGAGCGCAACCCUUGUUCACUGUUGCCAGCACGUUAUGGUGGGGACUCAGUGGAGACCGCCGGGGUCAACUCGGAGGAAGGUGGGGAUGACGUCAAGUCAUCAUGCCCCUUAUGUCCAGGGCUUCACGCAUGCUACAAUGGCUGGUACAGAGAGUGGCGAGCCUGUGAGGGUGAGCGAAUCUCGGAAAGCCGGUCUCAGUUCGGAUUGGGGUCUGCAACUCGACCUCAUGAAGUCGGAGUCGCUAGUAAUCGCAGAUCAGCAACGCUGCGGUGAAUACGUUCCCGGGGCU
rnacentral:rRNA from 1 species